GACGAACGCUGGCGGCGUGCUUAACACAUGCAAGUCGAACGGAAAGGCCCUGCUUUUGUGGGGUGCUCGAGUGGCGAACGGGUGAGUAACACGUGAGUAACCUGCCCUUGACUUUGGGAUAACUUCAGGAAACUGGGGCUAAUACCGGAUAGGAGCUCCUGCUGCAUGGUGGGGGUUGGAAAGUUUCGGCGGUUGGGGAUGGACUCGCGGCUUAUCAGCUUGUUGGUGGGGUAGUGGCUUACCAAGGCUUUGACGGGUAGCCGGCCUGGGAGGGUGACCGGCCACAUUGGGACUGAGAUACGGCCCAGACUCCUACGGGAGGCAGCAGUGGGGAAUAGUGCACAAUGGGCGGAAGCCUGAUGCAGCAACGCCGCGUGCGGGAUGACGGCCUGCGGGUUGUAAACCGCUUUCGCCUGUGACGAAGCGUGAGUGACGGUAAUGGGUAAAGAAGCACCGGCUAACUACGUG
rnacentral:rRNA from 1 species